CUCCUCGCUUGCCUUACCACGUGGGUAUUUUAUCAUCUCUCAGCAUCACCACAAGAAGAAGGGUUCUAACUAAUGCAAAACACACAAGAAAUAAGAGGAACGAAUAUUCACAAAGAAGAGAUAGGACUGUCACCAUUUGCUGACAAGGACAUAUAAGAGAAGAAUCAUUCCCCACCUCCAAGAAAAAGAUUAGAAAAGUGCCUCAGACUUGUCCCCUGGACUGAACAUCCACCUGAGGCUGCCAAGGCACAACCCUACCCUGCCCAUCUCCCUCUGCUCCUGUAAGCCGUAGAUGGGAAACAGACACAAAGAAGCCCCAGGCAUGGAGGUUCAUCACUCCCAUUCCACAGGCACAGCCAUUACACAACAUCAGCUGGUCUGCUGUGCCUUUUUGGGAGGCCAUUUUUGAAAAGUUGUCCCUUUGAAUGCACAGAAGUCAGGAAAUGCAAAAUUAAGGUUCUCAGAGUAACCAUAACUCACUCACAAUGCACAUCGAGGCAUAAAUUUCCCUGGAAGUACAACAACAUAAAACAUUGAGCACACCAGAGUGGGAGAAGUGAGGACUGUUGCUAAAGUCAUAAAUUUGAAUUUCGUGACUUGGGUGCAUUUUCACUGUCACCCAUGACACUACAUUAACAUAGCAUUCACACUAGAAAUUGCGACAUAAUUCAGAGGCCUUCGUGCUUGUGACUGAGGUAGUUUUCUCUGUAGGGACCUCUUCUCAGACAUUCAUAAGGAUUUCAAGGAAAAAAAAAAAACCUGAGAAGAAAUAUUAGUCCCUUGGGGAAUGUAGCGAAAUCUACCCAGCAUAAAAGGAUUAGCUACAUUUAUUUUCUAGCAAGCUCUGGAAGCAAGCAACCACUUCCCUUUCAAGGACUACAUCCCUGAGAGAAGGUGGCUUACUCAAUCCUUGCCAUCAUCUGAAUCUUCCACUGGGUCUUGAGGGAGUGUGGGCUGUAGAUGUCCUGCCUCCUCCCCUGGGACAGGAAGGGUCAA